UACAGAGGUGGCAAGCGUUGUUCGGAAUUACUGGGCGUAAAGGGCGCGUAGGCGGUUGCCUAAGUCGGACGUGAAAUCCCCAAGCUUAACUUGGGAACUGCAUCUGAUACUGGGUGACUUGAGUUCGGGAGAGGAAUGUGGAAUUCCAGGUGUAGCGGUGAAAUGCGUAGAUAUCUGGAGGAACACCGGUGGCGAAGGCGGCAUCCUGGACCGGCAUUGACGCUGAGGCGCGAAAGCUAGGGGAGCAAACGGG
rnacentral:rRNA from 1 species